UAUCUGUAAUAUGGAGAAACAAAAAGGGUUAAAAGGGGUGGGUGGCAAUGCCUCCAUCCCAAGAACUUCUCCUUUGGGUUGCUUAUUGGCACAUUGGAAAGAAGAGAAUUUUGGUCAAGAAUUACAGAAAAAGUGAUUGAUUAUUGUAAUGUACAGUGGUCAAACUACCUGCGGGACAAACUGGUUUUGUUAGAAGAAUGCUGUCUGAAAGGAGUGACGCUUGAAAAUAAUAAGUGCCUGGCUUUUGUCCAAGAGAAACAUUGUAUGCAACAUGUGAUUUUAAGUGCAGCUUUGGGGGGAAGAGGAGAUGGACUGGACCUAGAUUUGUUAGUGGCAUCUACGGCCCCCUUGACACUGAAUUCUAUCCUGCUCACCUUGACCCCACCUGAUUGCCAAUAUAUUUCUCCCCCACCUUUGUUUGCUGAAGGAAAUUAUCCUCCUUUGCCUAGGCCUGCUCUUCCUCUGCCUAUUAAGGGAAAUCCCCCUUCUCUAGAAAUACCUGCUAAAAGCUAUCCUGCCCCCCCUGCCGAUGCCUGCUCAAAGAUUUAUUCCUCCUCCAACAGUGGCUCAAGGGUACCCUCCCCUCCCACCUACACCUUCUCCGCGGGCUUCCGUUCCCUCUGCCCCCCUUGUACCCUCCUCUGCCAGAUUCGCCUGUUCCUCCUGUCCCAGGUAACAAUCAGGAAACAAGAGCAAAGUCUUUUUGCAGUUCUACAAAGACAGGAGCAAAGACGUGGUAGAACCAGUCGGGGCAGUAAUAGACGUGGUUUUGGCAGAGGUCCUGGUCAUAGAGGGCUAGGAAUAAAUCAAUGUUUUGUAAAAUAGAGGGACAUUGGAAAAAAAAAAGAGUGUCUGAGCCAAUUUAGUUAGAAUGGUCAGCCUCAGUUAGACAGCAUGUUUAGCCAGAGUGGUGAGCCCCAGAUGGAAGGUGUAACCAGGGUCAUGGUUUUACAUGAGAGAGAGACAGAAUCAAGAGAGCCAAUGGUGACUUUGCAUUUAGAAGGGAAAGACAUAGGUUUUCUCAUUGACACAGGGGCAACACAUUCUGUAUUAAAUUAUCUUGAGGGGCAAGUUGGGAACAGGUUAGCAGCAGUCAUUGGAGCCACAGGGAAGGAGGAGAUACGGCCAUUGCUGCAACCCCUAGAAUUGAGCUUUGAAGAUAAGAUCUUGACCCAUGAAUUCUUAUACAUGUCCGAUUGUCCAACUCCACUCUUAGGGCGUGAUCUACUGGCAGCACUGGAGGCAGUAAUUACUUUUGAGAAUGGUGAACUUGUAAUGAGAAUACCUGAGUCUAACACAGGAAAGAUUUUGAUGAUAAAAGAAAAACCAAUUUCUAAUAUUCCUAAAAAAGUAGAGGAUGCAGUAAUUCCCUCUGUGUGGGAAACAGAUGUACCUGGAAAAUCUAAGAUACUACAACCGGUACAUGUAGAAUUAAAAGAAGGAGCAAAGGCUGUACAAAUCAAACAGUAACCUAUAAAACCGACAGGGAAUAGCAAAGACCAUUGUUAAGUUCUUAAAAUAUCAAAUUCUAGAAGAUUGUGAGUCAGAAUACAAUACCCAAAUAUUCCCAGUAAAGAAACCGAAUGGUGAGUAUAGACUCAUACAGGAUUUAGGAGGCAUAAAUGAAAUAACCAAAGACAUUCAUCCAGUGGUUGCCAAUCCUUAUACAUUGUUAUAUACAUAGCAAUCCGUAAAAGAGAUCUAUAAACGGUUUACUGUAACUGACUUAAACCAUGCCUUCUUCUGCAUACCCCUUGACCGAGAAAGUAGGAAACUAUUUGCCUUUGAGUGGGAACAGCCAGAAAAUGGAAGAAAGACCCAGCUCACCUGGACCCGAUUACUGAUGAGGUACAAGAAUUCUCAGACCCUAUUUGGGAGUCAGCUGGCAAAGGACCUGGAAAUCUGGACCAGAGAAGGGCAAGUACCAAGAGACCAAUAUCUAAUUACUCCAGUAUGUAGAUGACACUGUGAUUGAAACCGAGGAAGAAGUGACCUGCAUAGAGGUAACCACUCAGAUUUUAAAAUUCAUUAGGAAUGGGAGGGUAUAAGGUGUCGAGAGAAAAAGCACAAAUUGCCCAACAGACUGUGAUUUACCUGGGAUGUAAAACCUCACAAGGGCAGAGAAAACUGGGUACUAAUUGUAUUCAAGCUAUCUGUGCUAUUCCAGAGCUCCAGAAUCUACACGAGCUGCGGAUCUUCCUUGGAAUGACAGGGUGGUGUCGCCUGUGGAUCAUGGACUAUGGACUGAUCACAAAACCCUUGUAUGAGGCUCAGGAGACACAGCUGUUCACCCGGGGCAAACCACAGAAAGAGGCCUUCCAGAAGUUAAAGGAAGCAUUGACAACUGCUCCUGCUUUGGGGUUACCUGAUCUGUCUAAAGACUUUCAGCUGCAUGUGCAUGAAAGGCAGCGACUGGCACUGGGAGUCCUGACCCAACGACUGGGAAGCUGGAAAAGGCCAGUGGGUUACUUUUCCAAACAACUCGACAACGUAAGUGCUGGGUAGCCUUCCUGUCUGCGGGCAGUGGCAGCUACCGUGCUGCUGAUACAGGAAGCCAGGAAGCUCACAAUGGGAAGACACAUAGAUGUCUAUGUGCCACACAUGGUAACUACAGUCCUGGAACAAAAGGGGGGCCAUUGGCUCUCUCCAAGCCAGAUGAUGAAGUUUCAGGUAACCCUGACUGAGCAGGAUGACGUUGCACUAAAAACAACUAAUCUCUUGAAUCCAGCUCUGUUUCUAGGUACCACAGCUGAGGAAGGUCUAUUAAAGCAUGACUGUGUAGAAGUAAUCGAGCACACCUUUUCAGCAAGAACAGACCUGAAAGACAUCCCCCUAGAGCAACCAGAGUGGGAACUCUUUACAGAUGGAAGCACCUUCAUGGAGAAUGGAACCAGAUACGCAGGAUAUAUGGUAGCCACGAUUGAUGUAGUAGUAGAGGCAAAAGCACUACCACCUAAUACAUCUGCCCAGAGGGCAGAACUAAUCGCACUAACCAGAGCACUAGAGCUGAGUGAGGGAAAGACAGUAAAUAUACGGACUUACUCCAAAUAUGCCUUCGGAGUAGUGCAUGUACACAGAGCUUUAUGGAAAGAAAGGGGACUGCUGUCCUCCCAAGGUACACAUAUUAAACAUCAAGAUGCAGUCCUACAACUGAUAGAUGCAGUACAAAAACCUGAACAAGUAGCAAUCAUGCACUGCCAAACACAUCAAUCAGGCAACUCCAAAAUUUGUGAAGGAAAUCGAAGAGCAGAUUGGGCAACCUGCCAGGUAUCGCGAGACAUACAGAAAACAAUGGCAUUGAUACCGUCAAGACUUAAUAUCUCCCAAUUCAAUUUGCCUCCUAAGCCAAAAUAUACAAUAGAAGAUGUAUAGACAAGCUAGCACAUCUGCUGAAGGCACAGAAGAACACAGAAGGGUGGAAAACUCUCGCUCGGCUUCGAAGUGUCCUUGUGUGGAACAGACCACUGGCCCUGGAGAAUCCAGUCCACAAUAUCGAACCAGGAGAUGAAGUAUACAUCAGAACCUGGAACGAAGAACCACUGAAAGAGAAGUGGACUGGUCCUCAUCAGGUACUGCUAACCACCUUUACAGCAGUCAAAGUGGCUGGAGUGGAACCCUGGAUACACUACAUGCGUGUGAAGAAGGUCUUUCGUGAAGCCCAGUCGUUGGCUGCAGAAACUAUAGAACCAACAAAGCUGAGGCUAAAACAUCUGUAACUGCUCAAAUGGUAUUGGUAACUGUGCUCAUGCUCUUCCUGUGGGUAAUGUUACUUUCAUGGAUACUAAUGUCACCAGUGGGGAUUGCUGUUACUUUGGGAUAUGGAAUACAGAAGGGUCAACUAACCACUCUUCAUUCUAGAAUGAAGAAAGAGGUACAAGCAAAGACACAAGUAAUAGAAGUCUCUAAUACAAUUUGGGCUGAAAAUGUAAUGAUUGGAUUGGUCAGAGACUUUGCCAAAAUGCAGAAUACCAGGAGAAUAACAGCCUGUCUGCCAAUACCAAAGGCAGCAGGGGACCCAAUAAGCUGGGGAAUAAAUAAUGUCAAAAUUACCUGACAUAGGAGGGAACAAAACAGUCAAAUGUAAACAAGUACCACAGUCAAGAGUGGUAGUCAAAGAGUACUGGAAGCUAACAGAGAGAGCCUAUAUGCAACCUAUGAGAAAAUCAGAUUGUACUCUUAGUAAUGGCAAAUUAGGAGAAAUCGUAGAGUGGUGGGUUAAGGACCAACACCUUGCAAAAUGGGAAUGUUGGUUGGCACGCUGUCAAAAGAUCAGGGAAAACGCUACAGAGAGCAUUGUGGUGUGGAAGUGUGAAGAAAAGGAUUGGAAAGAAUUAGAACUCUGGGACAAUGCAUGGUCUAUGAGUACCCUCCAGAAAUUCCAAUAUAUGACAAGCACACCUUGAUGCAUUAAAUGGAAAGGCUCUGAAAAUGACACAGAUCCCACGGUGACAAGUACUGGUACUAGCAGUCAGAAAGAGGCAAAUAAAGUAGGUUGGUGAGUAUGUAAUAAAAUUUAUGAAUGCACCUCUGAUGAUGUGGAAAUAAAACAGUGGUCACCAUUGGCAGUAGCCUUAUGAAUCGGUUGUGCUUGCAGGAAGAUUAGACACAAACAAGGCAAAAUAGAUUCCAAGAUUAUAGUAGGAUGUAGCAGGAGUACAAUCUGAAGUCCAGGACCAUUUGUAUGGGCAAUGAGAGAUGGCACAUGGACAACACACUUGCCUAUGGACGGGGAGGUAAGAGAAAUCACCCCGGGCCUUCCCACUUUAUGCCCAAUUUGAAAGAAGUCCCCAUUUAACGGGAGCCAUGAGCCCUUGCAGAUAAGAGCAAAACGAGAUGUCCCAGGAGACAAAAACCCAGAUGACACUUGGCAGGAACCCUCUAGUGGAGUAAAAAUUGGGUGGGCCCUAGAGUCUUUGUUUGGUCCAGCUGCAAAUUAUCGAAAUAGAAAAAUGCUAUAUAGACUCACAGGUCAGGUAGAUAGAUUAGCAAGAAUCACACAAGAAGGAUUUAAGGAACUCAACAUGCAAUUACAAGCCACCACCAAAAUGACUUUACAAAAUCAAUUGGAUUUAGAUAUGUUACUCAUGAAAGAACAUGGAGUGUGUGGAUAUCUAAAAGGACAAAUUGACCAUUGCUGUAUCCACAUCCCAAAUGUAACUGCAGAUGUAGAACAUGAUAUCAGCCAGUUGAAACAGAUAGAGCAUGAGGCACAAGAAGAACGAAAACAUUUAGCUAUCAGCUGGUUAGACAAAAUCUUUAAAGGAUUAGGAUGGAAUGUGAGUUCAUGGAUAAAGUCUAUCCUUGAAAGUUGGAUCAUUUUACUAAUUAUAUUUUUAGCAAUUUGGUUAGUUUACAGAAUCCUGAAGAGAGAGAUACAGAAAAAGGCAUCUUGGAACAGAACCAUAAUGAAGGCAUUGGCAUGGAAUCCAUAUCCAGCGCCUUUGAUCCGCAACAACAUCCGGGACAAAGCCCAUGACAACCGAGGAUUUGAAGAUGAACAUCCAGUAUAAACUUUGAAGCCAAAUGGACCGUAUUCAGUGAAAGCA